rnacentral:rRNA from 1 species
UACGUAGGUGGCAAGCGUUGUCCGGAUUUACUGGGUGUAAAGGGCGUGUAGCCGGGCUGACAAGUCAGAUGUGAAAUCCGGGGGCUCAACCCCCGAACUGCAUUUGAAACUGUUGGUCUUGAGUAUCGGAGAGGCAGGCGGAAUUCCUAGUGUAGCGGUGAAAUGCGUAGAUAUUAGGAGGAACACCGGUGGCGAAGGCGGCCUGCUGGACGACAACUGACGGUGAGGCGCGAAAGCGUGGGGAGCAAACAGG